CACGUAGGGUGCGAGCGUUGUCCGGAAUUAUUGGGCGUAAAGAGCUCGUAGGCGGUGUGUCGCGUCGGCCGUGAAAACCUGCAGCUUAACUGUGGGCGUGCGGUCGAUACGGGCAUCACUGGAGUUCGGCAGGGGAGACUGGAAUUCCUGGUGUAGCGGUGAAAUGCGCAGAUAUCAGGAGGAACACCGGUGGCGAAGGCGGGUCUCUGGGUCUGCACUGACACUGGAGGGACGAAAGCUAGGGGAGCGAAAGGG
rnacentral:rRNA from 1 species